UUUCUAAUGAUCAUGCUUUGUUCAUUUUUAUAUAUGCUAUUUAGAAUAUCUUUCUUUUGAAUUUUCUUGAAUUGUUAUCGAUUUUGAUAAGUUUUAUGCAUUUUAUUAUUGAGAUAUUUUGUCUUGUUCUAUAUUAUGGUUUAUAUUUCAACUUUCUUGUUUCAAAAGAGAAGAAGAAAAAGAGAGAAAAAAGGAAAAAGAAAAAAGAAAAGGAGUGAAGAAGUGCCUGAAAUAAGGCUGAAAUGAGGUUGAAGAUUUUGUAUGUUUUAAUCUCUUGAUAUAAUUAUUUUGUAGACUUGAUUUUGCUGAUCAUUGAGAAAAAUAUGAGAAGAGUGCUAGACACUGAACAGAUAAAAUUGAAAGAGGAAAAAAAAAAAAAAUCGUUCAAAUAAGUAGCUUUGAGCAAGGAUUUUGUUAAUGUUUCCACAGAAGUUGAAAGUGGGGUUUUUAGUUUGCAGACCCUCAAAAGCAAUUCUUACAGAUUUAAAGAUGGGAGCUCAGAUCAUUAUUGUGGCAGAGACCAGAUUGCUGACAAUGUCAAGGAAAGAUUUCUUAAUCAUUCAUUUACAUUUAAAGAAGAAAUAUUUUGAGUGGACAAUCCAAAGUCGCAAGAUUUUUCAAUCACGUUGUUAGGGCAUUCAGAAGUUUGCACAGUUCGUUUUCCAACACACAAAAUGUUAAAUGUAAAAGUGAGUUUCAGGGAAAAAACAAAAAAGAAGCCAGGAACCAGUGGAAGGAAUGACAGUAUUCACUGAUGGUUUGGGAAAAACUCACAAAUCAGUGGUCACAUGGAAAAAUCAAAAAACAGGGAAAUGGGAAUCAAAUAUCAAAAUGAUACAAGGUUCACCACAAGUUGCAAAAUUGGUAAUAAUAGUCAGGGGUUUUUCAGUUAUUUUAGGAACCCUCAAUCUGAUCACAAGUUUAGUGUAUGUUGCAAAUGUGGUCAAACAAUUAGAAAAAUCGCUUUUAAAACAUACAGACAAGGAAAUUUUAUACUUAUAUCUAUUAUGCAUGAAAAUAAUCCUAGAAAAAACAGAGAACAUUAAUAAACACAUCAGAGUGCAUUCUUCACCUCCGAGGUUUUUAGUAAAAGAGAAUGCUCAUGUAGAUAGGCUCACAAUGCCCAUCUUGCAGACACUGCCAAACAUUUUUGAGCAGGCAAAAUUGAGCCGUGCAUGUUUUCACAAAAAUGCACAGGCAUUGAUGGGAACCUUUCACCCUUCUGAAAGUCAGACAAAAGAAAUCUGCUUGCCAGAGUGCCAGUUUGUGCAGUCUCCUGUAUUUACAGGAAUGGACAAUCUGAGAGGUUUGUAAAAGCCUUCAGCUGUGGCAAGCUGAUGUCACAAAAUACCCAACUUUUGAGAGGCUCGAAAAUAUCCAUAUUUCAAUUGAUACAUUUUUAGGGGCGAUUUUUGCAUCAUAUACAGGGGAGACCACAGAACAUACCUGCAAACAUUUUUUAUAAGCAUUUACAUCAUUAGGAGUGCAACAAGAAAUAGAAACAAAUAAUGGUCCAAUUUACACAAGCAAGGUGCUUGACAAAUUUUUGAAAAAACAGAGAGUCAAACAUAUUUUCAAUAUUCUUCAUUCUCCCUCAGGUCAAGCAAGCAAAGAACACAUCACACCCUGAAAUCCACUUGGAUGGACAGAAAAGGGAUGAGGCAGGGUUGAACAAAUGUGUUGAAUUUUUUAAAUGGUUUUUUCUCAAAGCCCACAACAGCCCACAGGAAAAACUAAGGGAAAAUCCCUUCGAUUUGAUCAGAAGUCCGGAGUCAGGACAGAUUGAAGGUUCAUUUACAUUAAUAACUUGGGGCGAGGGUUUCGCUUGUGUUUCUACAGGACGAGGACUGAAGUGAAUGCCAGCGAGGCACAUGUAACCUUAUCGGGUGCAGACGCCAGUGGACGUAGACCCGAGAAGCAGAGAGGCAAGCAUGCAGACGAAGGCAGACAACAACGCUGCAGACGUCUCGUCGGACAAUGAUUGAUCACCCAGAGACUUGGGGUUUUUUCUGGGAAAUCAAGUGUUGUUUGGGUGUUGCUGCAUUGCGGGGUUUCUCACAGAGGGUGGGGACAUGGACAUGGGAUUCAGACGGAUAGUGUUCAUGUGCUUCAUUCUUUCACCUGUUGCCUUGGGCAACAGGACAGAUUUUCCCAUGAGACAACCAAGGGAAAAAGUGUGGGAGACUUUGGCAAAAGCAGCUGGUCUGGACAGCAUUUGCCUGACCCAUUCGAAACCAGAGAAACCAUUUUCAACAUGCUUGGUAGGUGUGCCAGUGAAGGGAUGGUCAGUCCCAGGGGACAUCCUUCCAGGAGUUCUGAAGUUUCUUUCAGACCCUGUGGAGGGAUGACAUGUUUGGACACAAUUCCUUCCUGCUGCUCACUUUGAGCCUCUGGAUUUGGACAUUUUGGGUCAACAAAAAUGAAAUGGUGCAUCAAAUUUAAUUCAUCAGGAGUGGCAAAGACAGAUAAUCAUACAAUAGAUGUCACUCCGAAUCAGCCUUUUUAUAAAAAUGCGUCAUCUUGGUGCAAUCAUACCAAAAUGACAAGCAAACCAUCCUUUCAACAUCCAGCCACUUUACCGAAGGGAAUGUUUUUCAUUUGCGGGGACAGAAUUUGGCCUGCUAUCCCUGCAAAAAUCAAGGGUGGUCCAUGCAGCAUUGAAAGAUCUUUUGUUAACACACAGCAUGACCUUGAUAAGAGAGCAAGGAGAAAAAAAGAAUCUGAUGAAUGAAAUGAUCCAAAUUGUGACAAUGAUAAUGUUAAUACCAAGAAAAAAGGCUCGGAAAAACUGAGUGGAUCUGCUUUCACAGCAGGUGGCAUCAAAAAGAGCCUUGGUGCAGUUGGAUCAAAAGAGGUUGUGGGCAGAGUAAAGAUGCCCAUGUCAUUUCUUCUGCAUCGAAUGAUUUGUUAACUAGCAGUGAGAAAUGGGAACAAAACAGUAAUUGAACAUCUAUUAUAAACACAUAGACACAAGAGUGAUAAAUUUAAAGAGAUAUCAGAGGACCAAACACACCUGGAGAAAAAUUAAAUCAUAGGUAGAUGGUGUGUUCAAUUUGUUUCACCUUUCACAGUUGUAGAAAAGAGAUUUUGAAAAUAGUUGUAUGUAAUUAUAAGGUAUUGUAAUUCUUCUAAUGUUUGUGCUGUCCUUGCCUCAGUGCAUGAGGCAGACCAUGAACAAAACUGUCAAAGAGGUGUUCUUGAUUCAAAAAGGAAAGGAUCCCUUGAAAAAUAUAGUUCAAAUUCUGAUGAUGAUGUUUCUACCUGGGACAAGUCUCGGAGAAUUGCAAUAGCAAUUUUCUCACCCCAGGCAGCAUCAGGGGCGGCCUUGACACAAUUGGAUUGUAUAGCAUAUUGGUUGAGGAAACACAGUCGUGCCAUUUCGUUUGCACUGAGUGACAUGUUAACAGACAUCAACAGUGCAAGGCAAGCAGUGCUUCAAAACAGGGCGGCAAUUGAUCAUUUGCUGCUGACACAUGGGCACGGAUGUGAGGGAUUUGAGGGAAUGUGCUGCAUGAACUUGUCCGAUCAUUCAAAAUCUAUUCAUAAAAAUAUAAAACAAAUACAAAGUAAUAUUAACAAAUUGAACAAAGUUACAGGGUCCUGAUGGGAUGAUUUGUUUAGCUUUUUUGAUAUCUCACCAUUGUGGAAAGAACUUUGAAAAUAGCAUUUUAUAUUCUUAUAGGACUUGUAGUUCUUCUGCUUGUUCUACCAUGCAUUUUCGUGUGUAUUUGAAAGACCUUGAACAGCAUGAUAAAGCGGGUGUUUCUGGUUCAAACAGAGAGGGGAGAUGUCGGAACUCAAAAUGUCCCUCAGACAUUUUUAGAGGUUCCAGGCCUUGGUCAGAAGCAUUUUAGACCCUGGCAAGCAGCUGAAAACAGCUGUGAUCUUGAGUUUGAACCAUGGAAUGAAUUACCAACUUUAAAGGUGGAACAAGCAGUCACAGAGGGUUAGAUGGUAUAGUAAAAGUAGUCACAAAUUAGAGGGUAAAAUUUUUUAGUAUUGUACAGGGGGGUUUUAACACAUGUACAGGGGGGUUUUACUUUGUACAGGGGGGUCAGGAGUUCUAAGAUGGAGGAAAGUGGGCCUGAUCCUGUUCUUCCUCCUUCUUCUUCCUUACCUCCAUGUUCUUGGUGAUGUUGGCAUUUUUCUAUUGGUUUAGGCUAGGGACACACUAUUCAACGUAGAUGAUAGAUAUUGGCACAUUAUUGUAAAUAUAGUACACGUAAUUUCUUGUAUAUAAUGUUUGUACCAUCCCACUGAGGGGCAGAGCCCCACACGCUGCCCUGCAGGACAGACCUGCGGCAGGGCAGCAGAACUUGUUAUAGAUAAGCAAAAAUAAACAACCUUGAAA
ensembl:lncRNA